CCAGUUCUUAUUUUUCUGUUACUCAUCCAUUAAGAAAGAUAUGUAUUUAGAUUCAGUGAUUAUUUGCUAAGAAAUAUGCUGUUGGAUUUUUUUCCCUCACUUAUUUCCUUGGCUUAAGUCAAAAUCUCUUUUUGGAUAUGCAGUUGGGCAGAAAUACCAUCUAAUCAGAUUUCCAACGCUAGAAUCCUUUACUGCUGGAAAAAUUAGGCAUCUUCUCAAUUCUCCAGUCCUCAGGCUCCUAAAAGACAAAGUGGAUUAAGUUCCUGGAAGAAUAAAGACCAUGUAUAUACUAUUAUAAGGGAAGCAUUUGAGUACUUGUGCUUGCUUUAUUUUGAGAAGAUUGACCUACUUUUGAUGCUCCUCCGCUAACAGGCAUGUCCCCACUCCCAAUUCCUCCCGUUUCUUCUGGAAAUGGCAGUUUGUCUAUAUGUAGAGAAAAAGGGACUUUUGGGAUUUAGGCAGUAUUAUUAAGAACAUUCAUAAAAUAAUUGGGCAGUUGUAUAAUUUUCAGUUUCCUAUAGAUCUAGUGUUUCUAAAUCAGAGAGAAGCCAGUGGGAGGAAGAUACAGGUUCUCCUUACACAUUUUUAUAUAGGCUUGUACUCCUUCCUGAGGUAUAGCAUAGUGUAACGAACCAAAUCGAAUGAACUGAAAUUGUUUUUACUCACUUGUCUCAGCCUUGCUCUUAGCCUAAUUUUUUUCUAGGUCCUAAUUUUCUGUGUGUGUGUGUGACUUCCUUUUUUAAUUCUGUCUUGGUUGUUAUUUUGGCAGGAAUUGAGAAGAGAGCCAGGGAUUCUGAUCAGGUGCCAUCUUAAACUUGCAUGUCCAGUUUUUCCUACAGACCGUACAGGCGAAUCAGACAAGUCCAGGUGUACUGGCUGCCCCUCUGGUGCCAUGAGUCUAAAGAUGCUCGGGUGGUUUAGAACAAGUACCUGCCACUGAGAGAAGGGACCUCAGAGCGCAGACUCUUUCCACAGUGGGUCAGAAGCAUCACACUGGUAUCUGAAAAACAGCGCAUUCAUAUGACCUGUAUCUUCACUUAAAUACAAGAUUUGAGAGAACAUUUCUACUUCCCUCUGUUCAAAUUGUCAUUUUAUCUUUGUGUGGUUGUUUUGGUCCUGAAAGCAGUUCACUAACAGGGAUGUUGUCUGGAAUUUUGGGCCUAUUUUCUGCACAAAGCAAUUUUAGAGAUGCUUUUAAGUACCAG
rnacentral:lncRNA from 1 species